CAUUAGGGGAGGAUUGAUUUUAUAAUUGAACAACUGAAUCUUCCAUUAUAUCCUCUAGAGAUUCUAAACUGAACAUUUAACAAAUAUAGAUGCAUCGAUUCUUAGAAUGGCAUGUAAGAAAAACACAGUAAUAAUGUGUUAAUAAACUUCUCAUUGAGGUGAACAUAUUUACAAGCAAAUAUGAUAACAACAAAAGAUAAAAUCUUUUGAAGGUGAGAAACUAAACUGCUACAAAACUGGGUCAAAUAUCUAUGUCAUGUCCUAUGAUAUCUUCAAAGAGCUAAUUCAAUUCAAGUGAGAAGUAAUAUCUAAGAAAAUGUCUUCUUUGCAAGGAAUAGUUAGACCACCCAUUGGAUGGUCAUAUUCAAAUUGUUCCUCGGCUUCGCUCAACAAUUCUUGGAAUGAAGUUUGGUUCAAAUAUGAUACAGGAAUCACAAACCGCUUCAUUUUCUCUCCUACGUACACUGCUAGAUAGCCCUUUGGAACGUCCACAGCUUUUGAAGAUGAUGCCCUUGAUCUGAUGAUACUACGUAAACGAAAACCCAUUGUUGUAUGUAUGAGUUAAAAGGAGAAGAUUGGUCUAAAAAGAAAGAGUUGUGUAUAGAAGACUCAAGUUUCUGAACUUCAACUGACUUGGGAUGUGAAUGAUUUUUUGUUGGUGCUAAAUGCUUGAUGCCAUGUUUAUAUAUAGAUGAAAGGAUAUGUUACAAACAGUCGACAACUACAAUGGUCAAUGAAGGAGGACCAUGAGAAUUUAAUCAUGGCCAGACAAGAGCAUAUGAAAGAUCACAUGGUGUUGUCUCUAAAUGAAUGGAUAUACUUCAAAUGGUGUAGUAGAUAGAUAAUGCAUAAUUCUUGUGCAAAAGCAUCAUAUAAUUGAUAGACUUGAAAGUACAAACCACAGACAUGUAGAAUGGUUUAUGUUGAUCAAUUGUUAUCCAUAGCCAUGUAGACACUUACCAGCUGGACAUCAGCAUUAUCAUAAUGAAGAAAACAUGUCUGAAGCAUGUUUACGAAAUUAUGAAGGAAACCAAUUAAAUCAUGAAGAAAUAUGACGUUGCACUUGAGCACAUCUCAUUUGGUAGCAAUUGGAAGCUUUGUAUUGGAUAUUGUUUAAGAAGGUAGGGUACACUCUAAGACAACACCACAUGCUACCUUAUCCCUAUGAUCUAUAUCCUUCAACCCCUUCAAUAAUAGUUUUUCUUGAAAUUUGGGUUUGAGAGAACUUUAAAAUCUAUAUAUAAACUUCCUCUCUCCUUCACAAACAGAAAAACUCAUUGCAUUAUCAAAUAUUUAGUUACAUCCUUCAUACAUUUGAGAUUUUUUCUCUGUUCUUCUCUCAAACUAUAACAAAAAAUGGGUUUCCGUUUACACACUAUUCUAAAGGGUUCAGUAACGUCUAGUCAAGCAAAAUCAAAAUCUGUAGAAGUGAGAAAGGGCUACGUUGCAGUGUAUGUUGGAGAGAAACUGACGCGGUUCAUAGUUCCUGUAUCAUAUUUGAACCAACCUUCAUUUCAAGACUUGUUGAAUCAAGCUGAGGAAGAGUUUGGAUAUGAUCAUCCAAUGGGUGGCCUCACCAUUCCGUGCACCGAAGAUGUCUUCCAACAUAUAACUUCAUGCUUGAAUGGCCCUUGAACCUUACACUUUAACAUACUGAAAUAGCUAGAUUAGUUGAGACAUUUUUUUUGUAACAGGCGUCUUUUUGACUUGUAAAUAUAUUACCCUUUUCAUGGGAAAUGGAGAAACAUUACUAUCUGAACAACAAAUUCAGAAAAAUUAUCAAAAUUUUUAGUUAGUUCUUUAAGCCUAUUGAAAUGAGACAAUAUGUUACUUUUAUUUCUCAAAAUACUAGCAAAAUUAGUUUCAUUGUUAAAAUCCAGCUAAACAUCUUUAAGUAACAAAACCAUUUUUGCUAAUUCAGGUAGCUCUAUAAAAUUAUUGAACUAAAUCAAUAUCUAUUGAUUUUUUAACCAUUAGUCACCCAUUAAUUAUAUCUUAAGAGCUACUUUGGUUAAAUUUUUUCACAUAUAUACUAACAUAAGAGUUGAACUUGAUUAUUUAACUAAUAUCUUAUCUCCAAAGUAGAAAUCAGCUCCUACGCUUCAAUUUUUUCAGAAGUUUUCUCUCUUAGUUUAUUGGUAAAACCUUUAAAUUUAUAGAAGUUUUUCUUAACUUACAAGCUUAAUAAUCAUUUCAACUCGUAUUAGCUAGAAGAUCAUUCAAACAUGCCUGCUACAUCUUAUGAUUCUUUAGUCUUGCACUCUUCUAGUUUUCUGUCACACCUUGUACUCCCAAAACAGAAAAUCACAAACUUCUAUUGCUUCAGUUUAACGUUAAUCUGUAGGGAACAGGCCCUCUUAACCUUCUUAUAUUUGGUAUUGUUGCAAUUUCUUAUUAUGAAAGUGUCUCAUGUGUUUCUUUUAGUAUAAGGAAUCGGUAAUAGAUCUAUAAUAUUAGUUUUCAAACAAUUGUACAUUUGUGCCGUUACUGUUUGAAAGGAAUGACGCUCUCAAAAGAAAGUUGUAAAGUCAUAUCUAUAAUGUAUUUACCAGAAGCAACAUGAACAGGUUGUAUAUUAACCUGAGAAUUAAUUGUGGGGUGCUUAAUAAACCACAAGUUUUUUAAUCUGCAUUCUUAUCCAAUAAUUACAUUCUUCUAUGCUGGAUUAUUUUUUGCAAUAUAUACUUUGUUUAUGAUCGUUAAGCCAUACUAGUUACUUUUAACUUUCGAUAUUUUUGCAACAGAGGAAAUCUAUUUUAUAUUCGUCUAGAGAUUCUAAACUGAACAUCUAGCAGAUAUGCUUUGAUUUUCAGAUUUAUAUUUAAGGGAAAAUAUAGAGAAGUAAUGAUGUUAUAAAUUUCUCAUUGAGGUGAACUUUUUCAUAAACAAGUAUCAUAACAACAAAAGAUAAAUCUUCUAAAGGUGAGAAACUAAACUGCUACAAAAAUGGGUCAAAUAUCUACGUCAAUCUUAUGGUAUCUUCCGAGAGCCAAUUCAAUUCAAACGAGAAGUGAUCUCUAAGAAAACGUCUUCUCUGCAAGGAAUAGUGAGACCACCCGUUGGAUGAUCAUAUUCAAAUUGUUCCUCAGCUUGGCUCAACAAUUCUUGGAAUGAGGUUUGGUUCAAGUAUGAUACAGGAAUCACAAACCGCUUCAUUUUCUCUCCAACAUACACUGCUAGAUAUCCCUUUGGAACAUCGACACCUUUUGAAGAUGAUGCCCUUUUGAUGAUACUAGGUAAACGAAAACCCAUUGUUGUAUGUAUGUGUUGAAAAGGAGAGAUUGGUCUAAAAAAGAAAGACUUGUAU
rnacentral:lncRNA from 1 species